GAGAGAGAGAGAGAGAGAGAAACUGCUCACUCCCACAAGCAGGACUCUGCCUGUAAGGUUGGCAUAGCUAAAUGGUGGUGUAGCGGCUGUGUUGGCCUGUUUAAUGCUCUGGACCUGGAUGCGUGUGUGGGGAUGUGUGUUAACGAUUAGCGACUUCGUUGGACUAUCCAGAUUCCUGUUAAAGGUGGUUAGAGUGCCCACCGAUUGGAAUAGUGGGUACAGUUGGUGGGUAAGGUCGGUACGCCCCUACGAUACAGUUUGGUUGGUUUGUUGGUUGCCAGGGGAAGGGGCAAGACGUUGUGGGUCCUUGUGGUCUGAGGUGUUUUGAGGAUGACUAUGUGGAUGAAGAUGGGAGAAAGGAUGAACCUUUUCCUGUGGGUGGUGUCUGCUUGCCUCUGCCUCACUCUCACUGGUGCGUCAGAGUCAGAGAGGCUGCUUCACCAGAAGAUCUUCCAGAACUACAACCUGAAGGUCCGGCCAGCUAAACAAUGGGAGGAGAAAGUUCAGGUCCGAGUGGGGAUGACCCUCUCCCAGCUCGUCAGCCUGAACGAGAAGAACGAGGAGAUGACAACCAAUGUGUUCAUGAAUAUGGCGUGGACUGACUACAGAUUAUCAUGGAAUCCAGAGGAUUACGAUAAUAUAGAUGUCCUCAGGAUUCCUUCUAACAAGGUGUGGCGGCCAGACAUCUACCUCAUCAACAAUAAUGAUGGUCAGUUUGACGUGGCUCUGUAUGUCAACGUGCUGGUCUACAGUGAUGGGACAGUCAACUGGCUGCCUCCUGCUAUCUACCGCAGCAGCUGCCCUAUAGAGGUGGCGUACUUUCCGUUUGACUGGCAGAACUGCACCAUGGUGUUCCGCUCCUACACCUACGACUCAUCAGAGGUGGACCUGCAGUACGCCCUGGAUGAGAAAGGAGAGGAGAUACAUGAGAUUAUCAUAGAUGAGAACGCCUUCACUGAGAACGGGGAGUGGGCGAUCUGCCACAAGCCCAGCAGAAAGAAUGCGAACCCCGAGGACCUGUAUGAAGACAUCACCUUCUAUCUCAUCAUCGAGAGGAAGCCUCUCUUCUACGUCGUUAACAUCAUCGUGCCCUGCAUCCUCACCAUGGUCCUGGCCAUCUUUGUGUUCUAUCUGCCGCCUGGCGCAUGUGAGAAGAUGACCCUGUCUAUCUCUGUCCUCAUCGCUCUCACUGUGUUCAUGCUGCUGCUGGCUGACAAGGUCCCCGAGACCUCCCUGGCCAUCCCUCUUAUUGUUAACUAUGUCAUGUUCACCAUGAUCCUGGUCACCUUCUCAGUCAUCCUCAGUGUGGUGGUCCUCAACUUGCACCAUCGGACCCCCUACACACACAUUAUGCCCCCUUGGGUGCGCAAGGUGUUCAUCCACUUCCUGCCGAAGUACCUGGGCAUGCAGAGGCCCCACCCAGAGGAGCCUUUGGAGGAGGAGCCUAGUGAUGAUACGCCCCUCCAGAGCAUCGACGGACGCAGGCCGGGGGGAGAGUACUUCUUCAGGAAGAUCAACCCUGAACUGGUCCUACCCUGGAGAGGCAGGAGUGAGAGUACAGUACAGCUCCAGAAGUUCUUUGACAGUGACAACUACUGUCUGAUCCUCCCCCCGGACCUCAAGUCAGCCAUCGCUGCCGUCACAUACAUGGCUGAGCAGCUGAAGAAGCAGGAUGGCUCAGACUCGGAGACAGGAGACUGGCAGUACAUAGCCAUCGUGGUGGACAGGCUGUUCCUGUGGCUGUUUGUCAUCAUCACUACUCUGGGGACUCUGGCCAUGUUCAUGGACGCCAGACUCAACUACACCCCAGACGAACCUUUCCCCCUGAGGCCGUAGUCCAUUCAUACACCCCAGCACAGCUCACAAGGGAUUACAAGAACUACACUUCCCAUAAUUCCAUAGCUGAGUACCAACUUCUUUGAUAUGACGAGGACCCCCAGCGAAUCACUGGGAUCGGUGCCUGAUCGGGAGUCUGCAGUAUAUCCUCGUGUCCGACUCAUUGAAGAAGAACUCCUUGUACAAUUUGAGGCACUCUCCAGGCCACCCGUGCCCUGAUGAUUGUUGGCAUCAUCGUAUCCAUCGCUGGGCUGGGUGUGGCCAUCAUGGGCAUGAAGUGUACCACUUGCGGAGGAAACAACAAAGUGUGGAAGUCUCGCACCGCCA